rnacentral:rRNA from 1 species
GAGUUUGAUCCUGGCUCAGGAUGAACGCUAGCGGCAGGCUUAAUACAUGCAAGUCGAGGGGCAGCGCGGGUAGCAAUACCUGGCGGCGACCGGCAAACGGGUGCGGAACACGUACGCAACUUACCCAAAACUGGGGAAUAGCCCGGGGAAACCCGGAUUAAUACCUCGUAACAUAAUUGAAUGGCAUCAUUUGAUUAUUAUAGCUCCGGCGGUUUUGGAUGGGCGUGCGCCUGAUUAGGUAGUUGGCGGGGUAACGGCCCACCAAGCCUACGAUCAGUAACUGGUGUGAGAGCACGACCAGUCACACGGGCACUGAGACACGGGCCCGACUCCUACGGGAGGCAGCAGUAAGGAAUAUUGGUCAAUGGACGCAAGUCUGAACCAGCCAUGCCGCGUGAAGGAUGAAGGUCCUCUGGAUUGUAAACUUCUUUUAUAUGGGAAGAAAUUCCCGCAUUCUUGCGGGAUUGACGGUACCAUAGGAAUAAGCACCGGCUAACUCCGUGCCAGCAGCCGCGGUAAUACGGAGGGUGCAAGCGUUAUCCGGAUUCACUGGGUUUAAAGGGUGCGUAGGAGGGCAGGUAAGUCAGUGGUGAAAUCUCCAAGCUUAACUUGGAAACUGCCGUUGAUACUAUCUGUCUUGAAUACCGUGGAGGUGAGCGGAAUAUGUCAUGUAGCGGUGAAAUGCUUAGAUAUGACAUAGAACACCAAUUGCGAAGGCAGCUCGCUACACGAAUAUUGACUCUGAG